AUUUGCAGCCGGAUUCUUCGAGUCAGGUGGAGUCAUUUUCUUUUCGGGCAUCAGCUGCGAACUAGCAUGAUUGCCCAUUGGUGGCAUUCCUAGGGUGUUCAUUUCUGCAAAAAAAGCUCCUGCUAGAGCAAUAGUAUUAUAUAUUUGGUUAGUAAGCAGUUGAUGUAUAGCAGUUAAAUACACAUAAAGCAACAUUAAAGCAUUAGUAAAGAUAAAGGAUUAUUCCACAUAAAAUUCGAGAAAUCAUAUCCAAUAAUGAAGAUUAUGCUUGAAAUAUAAAGAAUAAGUGCGAUUGAACGCAAGAAAAGACCAGAAAGCAAGAAGAGGGAAGAUAUAUAAGGAAGAUAAGCCCAACAAAUACUGGCGCAGCCUAAAUGCAAAUUUGGAAAAAGGAAUGCUAAGAUAAAUGCGCAGAAAUAUUGCACGAACCAUCCAUAGGCUUUUGCGUCAGUUGAGGUUGAGAGAUGGGCAAAGGUUUUUCGUCCUUCUUUAUGGAAAUCUGGGAAAUCUGCAUUGGCAUAGAUAUAGGAAGAGGAUCGAAUAUCGAACUCAUGCCUCCCAUAUUCAUUCCCAUGUUCAAUCCCGGAAUGCCGUUGUUAUUCAGCAUGUUGGGCGGUGAAUUCCCGCGCUUUGUAUUUGGAAACCCAUUGGAGUGCUGUUGCGACAUCGUAACGUUAUGGGAGUUUUGAAUAUUUGAUUAGAAGCCAUACUCGUCGGCAUCAUAUUUACCGGUUUUACAUCCGGUAUUAAAUUUAAAUUGGCAUUAGCAUUAGUAUUAUUGGUCGUAUGAGAUGUCUGGAUGAAUGGAGGAUCCUUCUUAAUCGCAAGUGUUUGAUCCAAAGAAGGCUGCUGUGUUUGUAUAAAUGGAGGAUCCUUCUUGAUCGCGAGCGUCUGCUCCAAAGAGGAUUGUGUGAUUGUACGAUUGGGAAAGGACAAAGGACUGUUUACUUCUAUAAAUACCUGAUAAAGUAUUAUAUGGCUGUAAAAGAUCAGACUGUUGGUUUAAAUUUGUUCCGUCUGUGGGUACGGGUGUAUUUGCAUUCGGAAAGGAACUAAUGGUCGUCGGUGGCUGCUGCG